rnacentral:rRNA from 1 species
GGGGGGCUACCUCAGCGACGGCGCCUUCGCGUUCCCGCGCGCGAGGGAGCGGCCGAGGGAGGUGCUGCGGAGGCGCCUGGCGUUCGCGUGGACGGCCCUCGCCUUCGGCGCGGGGCUGUUCUUCUUUUUCUUCGGGAGGCUGCUGCGGCGGUGGCGGAGGCCGGCCCCGCCGCACCAGUACUGCCGCGGCGGCCGGUCGCCGGCCCGGUGGGGCCCGUCGGGGCCGGCCCCCGAGUUCGCGUUCCAGCCGACGUAGCUCAGGCGGUGCGCGUAUCCGGCGUUCUUCGCGGAGCUCCGGCUCAUGCUCGAGCCGCUGCUCUAGCCGGUCCCGUUCAAGCCGAGGCAGGCCUAGACGGCGCGGUUCCGGCCGCCGCUCCUCAAGCGGACGUUCCGCGAGGGGUUCUUGCCGCUCCUCUGCCAGGUGGCGCUCCAGCUCUAGUACGUCGUGGAGAGGCCGGUGGGGCCGCAGCAGUGCGAGUUCCGGCAGAAGCUCCUGCGGCUGUUCAAGAUGGAGCAGUACCUCGAGACGUCGCCGCCGGCGAACGAGCUGCUCUACCGGUCCCUGCCGUGGAAGAGGCUCGUCGCCCGGCGGGAACAGUAGUUCCUAGAUUACAGCCAGCAGUUCAUGACGGUGCUUUACCCGCAGUAGGUGUCCCUGUAAUUCGGCCUCUUAUAAAACGAGUGGUUCUGACCGUUCUACUUUGAUCGACUAAAACCUAACCGUCGUGCUCAAUGAUUGCCAUUUAAGAACGAUUAUAAAGUGCAACUUCGAGAUGAUCUACUAUUUAUUAAACAACACAAGGACCCCCAUGAGAUACAAAUGUGUUCAACGUUAAAACUAAGCGAAAUAUACCGUUUUUCUAUAGUUAAUGUUCAUCAUCUUCUAGCUGACCUUCAGGCUGUAACCUGGUAUGUUACAAGAUAUUAUAAAUUAUUAAUAAUCAUACUACAGUACCGUAAAUCUUAAGUACCAACAUGUAUCAACUAGACACUAUGCUCAUUAAACGGUACAAUUGGCUUAAUGACGCCCAAAGUCCAAAGUUAGUGAAGUGUCGUAAAAACGUCCAACGAGUAUAAACACUGGUACGUAUAGUAGAUUAGAUUACAGAAGAUUUGAAGACAUGUUCAGCCAACCUAUCGUAGGUUAAACACUCAGUACUCAACCAUCCUUUACAUAAGUACACAUACGAGGAGAACGGGCUAUACGAAUCUCUUAACCCCUAAACUUACCUCACAGUUUCAGCUCGCGGGUAGACCAUAGAGAAUCACGUAAGUAGACGUUCAUAAAUAUACAUAUCAGACUCCGGGUUAUAUCGUGAGAAUUUCAUGACUCGUAAAGUCUGUCAAAGUACAAAGUAUGAAUGUGUUAGCCAUGACUAACAUAAGUAACUUAACCCGGUGAACCAAUACUACCAACACAUUGAUUAUUCUACCCUGGUCAAGACGUAGUUCUCAAUCCGCGAGAGUAAAGAAUUCAGGAACGCCUCGACCUUCACCACUUACAAAUCGAGUCUAAGAACAAAUUUACUACUAAAGACGUACGGCUAAGUCACAAAACGUACCAUAACGUUUACUUCUUUACAAGACACAGCAUGGUUAAUUAUACAAUUUUCCACAAAAAUCAGUACUUAACCAUCGUACACCACGGAAGUAACCAUUCAAGAACGAUCUAUAGGUUCCAUUAACUCCGUAACGCGAUUAACUAUCAACCAAGGUAAGAUGAACACCACCGCGACUAUGAUUAAAAAGAAUAAACGCACCUUAAACCUACAAUUCUUAGAUGUGACUAGUUAAAUUAGGAACAUAACUAUAAUUAAAUACCGUACGAGGACGUUCAUGGACAACACUACUCAGACUCCCGGUCUUAUCAGAAGAACUCGUAUGGUUUGACCGACACAUUACAAAACUUAUACCAGAACUCAGUAAAACUACUUAAUCCUUCACCACACUAAAGACAGACUUACCUCAGUAUAUCAGAUACUCAACCUCAACAGUCGUACCGAAGUCCCCGUGACCAAGAAUAUUUGUCGACGAAUAUAAAACAUUCCAUUAUAAAUCUAAUAUCAUUAAGACGUCAUAAAUAGAUAACAAUGGGUACAGAUAGGAGACAAGGUUGAGAUCAAUAGUCAAUAGUGAGAUUACAGAUUACGUUACGUCAUUCGGUCGGAACCAUGAAGAAUAAUCUGUGAAUGGCUAAUUCAAGUUCUCAGAAGACAGUACGAUCUCACUACGUACACAACAGAAUUUGAAGUGACUGUGACGGGAUCCGAUUUUGUGUAUGUAGGGUACCACGACUCCACCUCGUCUUACUCUCCUUAAAUCGGCGUACUUGUAACUCACUGCUUGUCUAAUAGAUUACGACGUGACGAGAUUUGUAUCGUUUACUACUAUUCACUGUUGUUAUUACAAUGACAUACUAUAAAAUGGAAUACGUAGCUUCAAGAUUCUUAGGUCAUAGUGGAUUAAAACACGAUUCCCUACGUCUACAAAUCUCGAGACUACGAUAAAACAAAUCAGACAAUACAAACAUGCUAACUGAAAUGAACCAAGGACUUAUCGGGGUUUAGUAGAAAGAUCCCAAAAUGAACCUGUUAGUCUACAUAUUUACACACAAAUGAUCUUCAUCGACUACAAAAACCAGUGGUGAUUUGUCCAGUCUUUAACAGACCGCAACGACCCUCGGGUCGGAUACACCGCGGACUCCACAACAGUCCUUCGAUAAGACUCUUUCAUCUGUAUACCCCACGACCCCACGAGGAGGUACAUGAUGACGAACCAAGUGAAGGUAAAGUUCCUCCGAGAGACCUUCGACAGAAACUUCGAUAUUUCUGUCAACUCGAACUAAAGUUGUCGCCAGGUACCCUUAGUUACAGUCAAUAACCUGCCCUAGAAUAUUCAGCUUACAACCUAGCUCUACAGAGAAGAUCUUAUUGACGACUAGUUCAAGAAACAGUAGGUACCCACAACAAGAUGUGCCUUACAUGGGACUUCCGACAUUGAGGACUACAGUGAUUGUUCUAACAUCGUGGGUUUUAAGGUACCCUGUCUUAAUCUAGUGUAACACUCAGCAGUCGAAGUCUAAGCAGCUCGGUCUCCAGCCUCCUGGUCCUACUUACACCGUAUCAGCUGCGUGACUGUCGCCGUUAUUGUGUACAAUCUUAUAGCCUCGGCUUUUCCUGGGCCGAAACGUCGGGGCCGUAAGGGUAUGUCGUCCUCACGAGGAGUUUGAACUUCUCGUUGGACACGUGCCGCAAGACUGUACUGGGGUUACAUAUCGAGGAACACACAACCAGACUACAGUCACUACCGAGCCGGACGACCAACAGAGACACGACUCCUAUUAUUGAGCCCAAAAGGACAGUCUCGUUCGUUCGUAAACUGUACCACUACGACAUCUAACGCCACUACCGACUACUUGGGCUGUACCAUCGACUACGACAUUUAAAACAUUUAUCUUACUAGGUACAUCGAUUAAAUAUAGAACUCUCAACUCUUAUUAAAGUCAGAUACGACCAUUUGCAUCACACGUGGUAGUAGGAACAAGGUAAGAAACAAAGAAGGACAAGGAGGAUCUGAUAACUCCUAAUCUAAAAACGUAGCUAAAGGACGUAAACUAUAAUAAUAAAAAACAAUUAUCUAGAAAAAGCGACACUUACAUAAAAGGUCUUCGACAUGAGAAUUA